GCGGGUGACUUGCCGUUGCGUCUCCCCCUUUCGUGGAGCGCUGAGCCGAUCCCCCUUCGGCCUCCCUCCUCCCUCCUCCCUCCUCCCGUGGGUCCUGUCUGUUGUACAUCGUCGGACCGUCUCUUCGUGUUUCCUCUCCGCCCCUUCUGCAAAUCUGCGCUCGCGUGUGCCGCCUCUCGGACGUGAGCCUUACUGUGUAUUCUCACGGUGCGCCUCCGUGUGUGUGUGUGCGCCACGCACCGCUUCUUCCAUGUGUGUCCUUGCUUGCUCUCUUCUGCCCCCCCCCCUCUGCCUCACACAUUCCGUGCGUGUGUGCAUCACCGUUGGGUGGCGACAUCGGUGCCCGUCCCUGCCACCCUCUCCUCCCUCAUUCGCAUCUUGCCACAUCGUGGGCGGUGCGUGCAUGCAUGGAUGUAUAUACACGCAUAGAGGGGUGGGGACGCGUGCAUGUGUGCGCGUACACACGCAUGUGUGUCGGUGCACCACUAUAUAUAUGUGUGUGCGUGUACGCCGACAGACAGGUGUGUGGGUGCGCAUGUACAUGUAGACAUGCGUAUCGAUGUAUAUAGCCGACCGCGUGCCGUGUGUAGGCGUGUGUGCGUGUAUAUCAGUGUGUGCCGGCACGUGUGUCGCGCCACGCUCUCUUGCCCGCCUCCCCUGUGCCUGUCACUCGCUCUGGGCGCGCUGGCGGCGGGCGCCGGGUGGUGGCCGCGCGGAAGGUGGGCGGCGGCCCUUCCCUAUUUCUGUCUUUCGCUAUUUCUCUGUGUCCUACUCGCGUG
rnacentral:misc_RNA from 1 species